ensembl:misc_RNA 7SK 7SK RNA
GGAUGUGGGGUGGCUGUAGCAUCUGUCACUCCAUUUAGCACCAGGGCCAAUCCAGCUGAUCUGGCUAGCUAGACAGGUGUCCUAUUCUUUCCUCACCACUCCAGGUGUAUUCCUCCUGAAGCUGUGUGCUUGGUUGAAAACGAUGACCUUCUCUAAGGUUGAUCUCAGGUCAAGUGCAUACAAGUAGAUGCAUUCUUUUGAUAGUUCCUUCGAAUAAGCUCCCAUAAUCUUUGAGGCAGCUGUUGAAGUGCUUAGUGAGCAUUUCUGACAACUCCCAGUGAACACACGCAGAAGUUUCUCCUA